GAUGAACGCUAGCGGCGUGCUUAACACAUGCAAGUCGAACGGAAAGGCCCUGCUUUUGUAGGGUGCUCGAGUGGCGAACGGGUGAGUAACGUGUGAGUAACCUGCAUUUGACUUUGGGCUAACUUAAGGAAACUGGAGCUCAUACCAGAUAGGCGAUCCUGAUGAAUGGUGGGGGAUGACAAGUUUCGGCAGUUGGGGAUGGACUCGCGGCUUAUCAGCUUGUUGGUGGGGUAGUGGCUAACCAAGGCUUCUACGGGUGGCCGGCCUGAGAGGGUGACCGGGCACAUGGCGACUGAGAUACGGCCCGCACUCCUACGGGAGGCAGCAGUGUGGAUGAUUGCAUGAUGCGCGGAAGCCGCAUGCAGCAAUGCCGCGUGCUGGAUGACGGCCUUCGUGUUUAAUACCGUUUUCGCCUGUGACUAAGAGUGAGUGACGGUAAUGUGUAAAUAAGCACCGGCUAACUACGUG
rnacentral:rRNA from 1 species